GAGGGAUCCUUGGAACAGUCGCACCCUGGUGGGACUUUUCAGAGCACUCCUGGGGUUGGGAGAGAAAUUUCAGGGUAACUGCAGAAUAAUGUGAGCUAUAACCGGCCUGAGUGAUCUUCUUGCUGGGAUCUGGAUGUGAGACUGGCGUGUUUGAAGGUUGCUGAAUACCUGUUGACCUGCAUGCCCCAACGGGGUGAACUCCAUCUACCUUUUGAUUCCUAACUAAUCGCAGUGAACAAUACACCAGCUUGUCUUCUGUAAAACGAGAGGGGUGAACGUUCCCACCAGCCUUGCCGCCUUGGUUGGACAGGUUCCUCACAGAAGUCUGUAACCUAUGAGGUGACAUCUAGACCUAACUGCUCAGACGUUGAAUCCCCAGCAUCCUGAGUCCUAAGCCCUACCAUGAUGUCUUGACCGGAGCUCUUCUUAGCCCAGAGCCAUCCUGAUGAGCCAUUCUGAUCCUGGAGCCCAGAUCUGGAACCUGGAACAGCAGGGGAUAGCUGGGGUCUGGAAAGGAGCUCUGGUUUCCUGGAGAAAGCACAUGUGUCUUCCCUUCAACCCAGCAAUUGCACUACUGGGUAUUUAUCCAAAGGUUACAAAAAGAGUGAUUCGAAGGGGCUCCUGCACCCCAAUGUUUAUAGCAGCAAUGUCCACAAUAGCCAAACUAUGGAAAGAGCCCAGAUGUCCAUCGACAGAUGAAUGGAUAAAGAAGAUGUGGUAUAUAUACAAUGGAAUAUUACU